rnacentral:rRNA from 1 species
AGCGAACGCUGGCGGCAGGCCUAACACAUGCAAGUCGAACGAAGUCUUCGGACUUAGUGGCGGACGGGUGAGUAACACGUGGGAACGUGCCUUUAGGUUCGGAAUAACUAAGGGAAACUUGUGCUAAUACAGAAUGUGCCCUUCGGGGAAAGAUUUAUCGCCUUUAGAGCGGCCCGCGUCUGAUUAGCUGGUUGGUGAGGUAAUGGCUCACCAAGGCUACGAUCAGUAGCUGGUCUGAGAGGAUGACCAGCCACAUUGGGACUGAGACACGGCCCAAACUCCUACGGGAGGCAGCAGUGGGGAAUCUUGCGCAAUGGGCAAAAGCCUGACGCAGCCAUGCCGCGUGGAUGAUGAAGGUCUUAGGAUUGUAAAAUCCUUUCACCGGUGAAGAUAAUGACUGUAGCCGGAGAAGAAGCCCCGGCUAACUUCGUGCCAGCCGCCGCCGUAACAC